rnacentral:rRNA from 1 species
AUACGGAGGGUGCGAGCGUUGUUCGGAAUUAUUGGGCGUAAAGAGCUCGUAGGUGGAUUAUUAAGUCUUAAAGUAAAUAUUCAGGCUCAACUUGGAUAUCAUUUGAGAUACUGUUAGUCUUGAGGGCAGAAGAGGAAAAGUGGAAUUCCUAGUGUAGCAGUGAAAUGCGUAGAUAUUAGGAGGAACACCAGUGGCGAAGGCGUCUUUCUGGUCUGCAUCUGACACUGAGGAGCGAAAGCCA